UGUGCUUGUAGCAACCCCAGCUGAUGCCC
rnacentral:piRNA from 1 species